GAGCUCCCUUCACCCCCACUGUUUCGGCCACACCACAAGAAAAAACAAAUCAAUUUCUAGCUCUUCUAAAAAUACUUCUUUGGUAUAGACCCACUAUAUUGAAGUCCCUAAGUAGCGUGGAAGUAUCGUUUGGGUCAUCCAACCAUUAGUAGUGCCCAUUUGCAAACCCUAGCUAUUGAUGGAAGUGAAGAACAAAGAUCUUGGGGAGCCCGAGGCGUAGAUUGGAUAUUUAAUUAAGAUUGACUAUCUUGGAGUGCGUACGAGGUACCGACGCACAGUUUGGUGAUCCACCGCUUUAGGACACCCCUUUUUGCUGUUGGAGUGCUCUUCUCCUUUCAGAGCACACCUUUUGGUAUACACUUUUGUUCGUUAUGCUUGUAUAUAUUCGUUCAUGG